UACAGAGGUCCCGAGCGUUGUUCGGAUUCACUGGGCGUAAAGGGUGCGCAGGUGGGUUGGCAAGUUUGAUGUGAAAGCCCUGGGCUCAACUCAGGAAUUGCAUUCGAAACUGGUAGGCUCGAGUACGGGAGAGGGAUGCGGAAUUCCAGGUGUAGCGGUGAAAUGCGUAGAUAUCUGGAGGAACACCGGUGGCGAAGGCGGCAUCCUGGACCGGCAUUGACGCUGAGGAGCGAAAGCCAGGGGAGCAAACGGG
rnacentral:rRNA from 1 species